UGUUAUUCUAAGAAAGAAUUAUUUUUGUUCGGGAUAAACGAUAGUAAAUGCUUUUUACCGUCUUCAUAUCACUUAGAGCAAGGAUAGUAAUACAUUGUGUGUUUACACACUGGGAGGCAAUUUUAAAUGGAACAAGGUAAAGUAAAAUGGUUCAACGCAGAAAAAGGUUUUGGCUUCAUCGAACGUGAAGGUGGAGACGAUGUAUUCGUACACUUCUCAGCUAUUCAAGGCGACGGAUUCAAAUCUCUUGAAGAAGGCCAGGACGUGACUUUUGAAGUAGAACAAGGCCAACGCGGACCACAAGCUUCUAACGUUCAAAAAGCAUAAUUACUACUCGUUUUAAAAACAGAUCCGAUGAAUAUCGGGUCUGUUUUU
rnacentral:sRNA from 1 species